GGGAUGAGGUUCAGUGGUAGAGUACCUGCCUAGAAUGCAUGAGGCCAUGGGUUCAAUCCCCAGUAUCACA
rnacentral:tRNA from 1 species